CGAGUGAGUCGGCCCCUAAGGCGAGGCAGAGAUGCGUAGCUGAUGGGAAACAGGUCAAUAUUCCUGUACCGAUGUGUAGUGCGAUGUGGGGACGGAUCUUAAUAGGUCAUCCGGGUGUUGGAUAUCCCGGUUUAGUUGGAAGUAGGCGAUGGGUAGGCAAAUCCGCCCGUCAUAUACCGAGGCCAACGAUCGAGCCAGCUUGCUGGUGAAGUGACUGAACGAGGUUCCAGGAAAAGCCACUAAGCUUCAGCUAUACACGACCGUACCGCAAACCGACACUGGUGCGCGAGAUGAGUAUUCUAAGGCGCUUGAGAGAACUCAGGAGAAGGAACUCGGCAAAUUGACACCGUAACUUCGGAAGAAGGUGUGCCCUAUUAGUGUGAAGUGAACAACGGAGCAUGAAUGGGUUGCAAAAAAUCGGUGGCUGCGACUGUUUAUUAAAAACACAGCACUCUGCAAACACGAAAGUGGACGUAUAGGGUGUGACGCCUGCCCGGUGCUGGAAGAUUAAAUGAUGGGGUGCAAGCUCUUAAUUGAAGUCCCAGUAAACGGCGGCCGUAACAAUAACGGUCCUAAGGUAGCGAAAUUCCUUGUCGGGUAAGUUCCGACCUGCACGAAUGGCGUAACGAUGGCCACACUGUCUCCUCCUGAGACUCAGCGAAGUUGAAAUGUUUGUGAUGAUGCAAUCUCCCCGCGGAAAGACGGAAAGACCCCAUGAACCUUUACUGUAGCUUUGUAUUGGACUUUGAACAGAUCUGUGUAGGAUAGGUGGGAGGCUUUGAAGCAGGGUCGCAAGAUCUUGUGGAGCCAACGUUGAAAUACCACCCUGGUGUGUUUGAGGUUCUAACCUAGGUCCAUUAUCUGGAUCGGGGACAGUGCAUGGUAGGCAGUUUGACUGGGGCGGUCUCCUCCCAAAGCGUAACGGAGGAGUUCGAAGGUACGCUAGUUACGGUCGGACAUCGUGACGAUAGUGCAAUGGCAUAAGCGUGCUUAACUGCGAGACUGACAAGUCGAACAGAUGCGAAAGCAGGACAUAGUGAUCCGGUGGUUCUGUAUGGAAGGGCCAUCGCUCAACGGAUAAAAGGUACUCUGGGGAUAACAGGCUGAUACCGCCCAAGAGUUCAUAUCGACGGCGGUGUUUGGCACCUCGAUGUCGGCUCAUCUCAUCCUGGGGCUGUAGCCGGUCCCAAGGGUAUGGCUGUUCGCCAUUUAAAGAGGUACGUGAGCUGGGUUUAAAACGUCGUGAGACAGUUUGGUCCCUAUCUUCCGUGGGCGCUGCAGAUUUGAGGAAGCCUGCUCCUAGUACGAGAGGACCGGAGUGGACACACCUCUGGUGUAUCGGUUGUCACGCCAGUGGCAUUGCCGAGUAGCUAAGUGUGGAAGAGAUAACCGCUGAAAGCAUCUAAGCGGGAAACUCGUUUCAAGAUGAGAUCUGCCGGGGCCUUGAGCCCCCUGAAGAGUCGUUCAAGACCAGGACGUUGAUAGGUCAGGUGUGGAAGCGCAGUAAUGCGUUAAGCUAACUGAUACUAAUUGCUCGUGCGGCUUGACCG
rnacentral:rRNA from 1 species